AAACUAGGAUUAGAUACCCUAGUAUAAGAUUAUGAAUUAAAAAUUUAAGUAUUAUCUUUAAGAAAAUAUAAAAUUCUUGACGGUUAAAUAUAAAUUUAAAGGAGCUUGAAGAGGCCAAUUAGAAUCUGCCCUCUACAUUUUAAUAUAAAUAAACUUAUUCAUCUCCGUCAUUAUAUAAAUAAAAAUUACAUUUAUUUUAAAUCAGGUCAAGAUGUAGUUAUUUUAUAAUACUCUUUUAGCUACAAUUAUUUAAAUAAUGACAAUUAUUUAUUUUAAAAUAAAAAUUAUUCUUUAUUAUCCUUAAAGUCUUAAAAUCCAAAAUAAACUGAAUUUAAUUGUAAUUUCUUUUAUUAACUAUAUAAAAAUGAAAAAUUGUAUUUAAUGUACAUAUCGCCCGUCACUCA
rnacentral:rRNA from 1 species